GACGAACGCUGGCGGCGUGCUUAACACAUGCGAGUCGAGCGGAAAGGCUCCUUCGGGGGUACUCGAGCGGCGAACGGGUGAGUAACACGUGAGUAAUCUGCCCUUGGCUUCGGGAUAGCCACCGGAAACGGUGAUUAAUACCGGAUACGACAACUUCUCGCAUGGGAUGGUUGGGGAAAGUUUUUUCGGCCAGGGAUGUGCUCGCGGCCUAUCAGCUUGAUGGUGAGGUAAUGGCUCACCAUGGCUUCGACGGGUAGCCGGCCUGAGAGGGUGACCGGUCACACUGGGACUGAGACACGGCCCAGACUCCUACGGGAGGCAGCAGUGGGGAAUAUUGGACAAUGGGCGGAAGCCUGAUCCAGCAACGCCGCGUGAGGGAUGACGGCCUUCGGGUUGUAAACCUCUUUCGGUAGGGACGAAGCGCAAGUGACGGUACCUACUAAAGAAGCACCGGCCAACUACGUGCCAGCCGCCGCGGUAA
rnacentral:rRNA from 1 species